rnacentral:sRNA from 2 species
GCGGAGGAAAAGAAACCAACAGGGAUUGCCUCAGUAACGGCGAGUGAAGCGGCAACAGCUCAAAUUUGAAAUCUGGCUCUUUCAGGGUCCGAGUUGUAAUUUGUAGAGGAUGCUUCGGCGUGGGCCCCGGUCUAAGUUCCUUGGAACAGGACGUCACAGAGGGUGAGAAUCCCGUACGUGGCCGGCGGUGCUCGCCAUGUGAAGCUCCUUCGACGAGUCGAGUUGUUUGGGAAUGCAGCUCUAAAUGGGAGGUAAAUUUCUUCUAAAGCUAAAUACUGGCCAGAGACCGAUAGCGCACAAGUAGAGUGAUCGAAAGAUGAAAAGCACUUUGGAAAGAGAGUCAAAAAGUACGUGAAAUUGUUGAAAGGGAAGCGCUUGCAACCAGACCUGUCCGUAGUUGCUCAUCCAGGCUUCUGCCUGGUGCACUCUUCUGCGGUCAGGCCAGCAUCAGUUCUGGCGGUCGGAUAAAGACGGCGGGAAUGUAGCUCCUCUCGGGGAGUGUUAUAGCCCGCCGUGUCAUGCGGCCAGCCGGGACUGAGGUCCGCGCUUCGGCUAGGAUGCUGGCGUAAUGGUUGUAAGCGGCCCGUCUUGAAACACGGACCAAGGAGUCUAACAUCUGUGCGAGUGUUUGGGUGUCAAGCCCGGACGCGUAAUGAAAGUGAACGGAGGCGGGAACCUUCGGGUGCACCGUCGACCGAUCCUGAUGUCUUCGGAUGGAUUUGAGUAAGAGCAUAGCUGUUGGGACCCGAAAGAUGGUGAACUAUGCCUGAAUAGGGUGAAGCCAGAGGAAACUCUGGUGGAGGCUCGCAGCGGUUCUGACGUGCAAAUCGAUCGUCAAAUUUGGGCAUAG